rnacentral:piRNA from 1 species
UAGUAUUCAGUAGCUCUGGGGCUUUUAGC